AUCCAAUUGACGAGUCCCAAAUAGGACGAAGUACGCAUUCUGGUGGAU
rnacentral:hammerhead_ribozyme from 1 species